rnacentral:rRNA from 1 species
AGAGUUUGAUCCUGGCUCAGGAUGAACGCUGGCGGCGUGCUUAACACAUGCAAGUCGAACGAUGAACCUCACUUGUGGGGGGAUUAGUGGCGAACGGGUGAGUAACACGUGAGUAACCUGCCCUUAACUCUGGGAUAAGCCUGGGAAACUGGGUCUAAUACCGGAUAUGACUCCUCAUCGCAUGGUGGGGGGUGGAAAGCUUUUUGUGGUUUUGGAUGGACUCGCGGCCUAUCAGCUUGUUGGUGAGGUAAUGGCUUACCAAGGCGACGACGGGUAGCCGGCCUGAGAGGGUGACCGGCCACACUGGGACUGAGACACGGCCCAGACUCCUACGGGAGGCAGCAGUGGGGAAUAUUGCACAAUGGGCGCAAGCCUGAUGCAGCGACGCCGCGUGAGGGAUGACGGCCUUCGGGUUGUAAACCUCUUUCAGUAGGGAAGAAGCGAAAGUGACGGUACCUGCAGAAGAAGCGCCGGCUAACUACGUGCCAGCAGCCGCGGUAAUACGUAGGGCGCAAGCGUUAUCCGGAAUUAUUGGGCGUAAAGAGCUCGUAGGCGGUUUGUCGCGUCUGCCGUGAAAGUCCGGGGCUCAACUCCGGAUCUGCGGUGGGUACGGGCAGACUAGAGUGAUGUAGGGGAGACUGGAAUUCCUGGUGUAGCGGUGAAAUGCGCAGAUAUCAGGAGGAACACCGAUGGCGAAGGCAGGUCUCUGGGCAUUAACUGACGCUGAGGAGCGAAAGCAUGGGGAGCGAACAGGAUUAGAUACCCUGGUAGUCCAUGCCGUAAACGUUGGGCACUAGGUGUGGGGGACAUUCCACGUUUUCCGCGCCGUAGCUAACGCAUUAAGUGCCCCGCCUGGGGAGUACGGCCGCAAGGCUAAAACUCAAAUGAAUUGACGG